rnacentral:rRNA from 1 species
GGGGGGGGCGGGGGGCGUGGGUGGUGCGGGGGGGUCGGGGGGGCGGACGGGAGGGUUGCGUCUCUGAUGGUGGCGUCGGCGGGGGGGGUGAGACGUGGCUCCGCUCCCUGUAGGACUGUGAUAGCUUCGGUCAACCGGAUCUACUACCUGAUCCUAUUUUAUCCCGCAGUGUUCACAAGUUCACAACGUUAUUGAUGUCACUUAUAGCUGUAUCCUCGCUGCGUUAGUUAGUUGGUAAGGUAACUGCUUACCAAGGCACCGCUUCAUAGCCGACCUGAGAGGGUGAUCGGCAACACGGGAACUGAGACACGGUCCAGACUCCUACGGGAGGCAGCAGUAGGGAAUAUUCAGCAAUGGGCGAAAGCCUGACGGAGCAACGCCGCGUGAGUGAUGAAGGUCUUCGGAUCGUAAAACUCGGUUAGUAGGGAAGAACAUAUGUGUAAGUAACUGUGCACAUCUUGACGGUACCUAAUCAGAAAGCCACGGCUAACUACGUG